rnacentral:misc_RNA from 1 species
GAAAUGCGAUAAGUAAUGUGAAUUGCAGAAUUCAGUGAAUCAUCGAAUCUUUGAACGCACCUUGCGCUCCUUGGUAUUCCUUGGAGCAUGCCUGUUUGAGUAUCAUGAAAUCUUCAAAGUAAAUCUUUUGUUAACUCAAUUGGUUUCUACUUUGGUAUUGGAGGUCUUUGCAGCUUCACACCUGCUCCUCUUUGUUCAUUAGCUGGAUCUCAGUGUUAUGCUUGGUUCCACUCGGCGUGAUAAGUUAUCUAACGCUGAGGACACUGUAAAAGGUGGCCAAGGUAAAUGCAGAUGAACCGCUUCUAAUAGUCCAUUGACUUGGACAAUACUUUUAUGAUCUGAUCUCAAAUCAGGUAGGUCUACCCGCUGAACUUAAGC